rnacentral:rRNA from 1 species
GACGAACGCUGGCGGCGUGCCUAAUACAUGCAAGUCGAACGCAGUGGGGACGGGUGAGUAACACGUGGGUAAACUCCAAUCAGAGGGGAUAACACUUGGAAACAGGUGCUAAACCGAUACUGAUGGAUGGCCCCGCGGUGCAUUAGCUAGUUUGUGAGGUAACGGCUGACCAAGGCCACGAUGCAUAGCCGACCUGUGAGAGGGAUCGGCCACACUGGUACUGGGACACGGCCCAGACUCCUACGUGAGGCAGCAGUAGGGAAUCUUCGGCAGUGGUCGAAAGUCUGACCGAGCAACUCCGCGUGAGUGAAGGAGGUUUUCGGUGCGUAAAACUCUGUUGUUAGUGAAACGGUAUCUAACCAGAAAGCCACGGCUAACUACGUGCCAGCAGCCGCGGUAAUUC